ACUGUCUGGCUAGGGGGCGAGAGAGGCCGACGGUAUUUUCGGGGUAGGGGUGAAAUCCUAUAAUCCCGGAAGGACCACCAGUGGCGAAGGCUGUCGGCUAGAACGCGCCCGACGGUGAGGGAUGAAAGCUGGGGGAGCGAACCGGAUUAGAUACCCGGGUAGUCCCAGCCGUAAACAAUGCAGGCUAGGUGUUAGCGCGGCCACGUGCCGCUCUAGUGCCGCAGGGAAGCUGUUAAGCCUGCCGCCUGGGGAGUACGGCCGCAAGGCUGAAACUUAAAGGAAUUGGCGGGGGAGCACCACAAGGGGUGAAGCUUGCGGUUUAAUUGGAGUCAACGCCGGGAACCUUACCGGGGGCGACAGCAGAAUGAAAGCCAGAUUGAAGGUCUUGCUGGACGAGCUGAGAGGAGGUGCAUGGCCGUCGCCAGUUCGUGCCGUGAGGUGUCCUGUUAAGUCAGGCAACGAUCGAGACCCACGCCCCCUGUUGCCACUGAGGAGUUUUCCAAGGGGCACUCUGGGGGGACUGCCAACGAUAAGUUGGAGGAAGGGGUGGGCUACGGCAGGUCAGUAUGCCCCGAAUCCCUCGGGCCACACGCGAGCUGCAAUGGCUGGGACAGUGGGUUCCGACCUCGAGAGGGGGAGGUAAUCCCGAAACCCGGCCUCAGUUUGGAUCGAGGGCUGAAACCCGUCCUCGUGAAAAUGGAAUCC
rnacentral:rRNA from 1 species